AUGACGGGGCUGGUUUACCAGAACACCACUGCCAAAGGGAGCAUCUGUGGAUCACACAGGAGUAUCUCGUGGAAGCUAAGGAUUUGGAACCAGGGACAGUUUCUUGUUACCCCAACUAGUCUCAGCCUUGGUUUCCCAGACUUAAGACGUUCCUAAUCCGGGGAGAAACAAUACUGAUAAGCAAGGGAGCAAGAAAUAAGGAAUGUGACAUUUUUUAAUCUCAAAAAUGAAAAUUUGACCCUACCAAUCAAUGAAUUCCAUGGAUCCUGGAUGGCAACCCUCUCAGGAGUCUGGAAUCUUGUCGGUAUGAGACUGACCUGCUAAAACAAUUAGAGAAUGAUGCUUUGCCAUAGAGUGUAACAACAAAAUAGCUUGCGAUGGCUCUUCAAAUUAAGAGAAUGGGCUCAGGAUGUUAGAUCUGAAAAACUUCUCAGAGGCCAUGUAUUUCAGUGUUCUUUUUUUACUGAUUUGGGAAGUGGGGCCAAGAGAGAUUCAAACAUUUGGUGAAGUUCAAAUGGCAAGUUAGGAACAUGGUCUCUGUUCUUAUUACACUACAGUUACCUUGAUUUGGCAGUAACACCCCUAUUAAAAUACAACAUGUUGUUCUUCCGAAAGAGGUUUUACCCACUUUUUAUGCAGUUUAGAUGAUCAUUUUAUCCUUACUGCCUUCUCAAACCUUUUCACAUGGGCCUGCUCUCCAUUAAAGGGCGUAUUCCAUGUACCCUGAAUGAGGUAGCAUUUCUAAAAGGCCUGGGCAAAGAGCACACAAACCCCCACCAAUGAGAAGAUUCUGUUCCAAACCAUACUUGACCAACAAUUCCUCUGGAGAUGGCAGAACUUCAGCUGUGGUCUGAAUCAGGUGUUUGAAUUUUCAGGGGCAGGAGGGAUCUGGAAAAGGAUCUUGGCGUAUCAGCCUAACUAUAAGAGUCCUUCCCUCCACAGCAACCCCACACCAGAGUUGGACUUGCUGAUGUCUGAGGGUGAGGUUAUACGCUAAGGAGAAUAAGCAUGCAAGCCACCCACAGGAGCCACAGAGCUGACAUAGGCAGGCGCACUCAGAGGUUAGUGGCUGGGAUGCUGCAUUGUGGUGUAAAAGAAAAAUAAUUGUUUAAUGUUGUUCAAUACUAACUCCUUCGACUUGUCAACUGUUCCUGCA
rnacentral:lncRNA from 1 species